rnacentral:rRNA from 1 species
CCCGCUGAACUUAAGCAUAUCAAUAAGCGGAGGAAAAGAAACUAACAAGGAUUCCCCUAGUAACUGCGAGUGAAGCGGGAAAAGCUCAAAUUUAAAAUCUGGCGGUCUCGCGGCCGUCCGAGUUGUAAUCUGGAGAAGCGUCUAUCCGCGUCGGACCGUGUACAAGUCUUCUGGAAGGGAGCGUCGUAGAGGGUGAGAAUCCCGUCUUUGACACGGACAACCGAUGCUUUUGUGAUGCGCUCUCGAAGAGUCGAGUUGUUUGGGAAUGCAGCUCAAAAUGGGUGGUAAAUUCCAUCUAAAGCUAAAUAUUGGCGAGAGACCGAUAGCGAACAAGUACCGUGAGGGAAAGAUGAAAAGCACUUUGGAAAGAGAGUUAAACAGUACGUGAAAUUGUUGAAAGGGAAACGUUUGCAACCAGACUUGCGUGCAGUUGAUCAUCCAAUGUUUUCACUGGUGCACUCAAUUGUAUUCAGGCCAGCAUCGGUUUUGGUGGUUGGAUAAAGGCCUUGGGAAUGUAGCUUCCAUUGGGAGUAUUAUAGCCCUUGGUGCAAUGCAUCCUACUAGGACCGAGGACCGCGCUCCGGCUAGGAUGCUGGCAUAAUGGUUGUAAACGACCCGUCUUGAAACACGG